AAAUAAGCAAUACCCAGAUACCAAAUCCUCCAAAUUUGAGGAAACCCACCAAAACCAGACAAAGCUAUGACAACUAAAAGCCACAGUUAACUUCUUUAUACACCAUGAUAAGAAGCUUAAAUUCAGCAUUGAUGUUCAAACAUGCAAAUACCAAUGUAUCUACUCAAUCAAAUUUCUAUACCCAAGUACAUCCAAACAAAAUAAUCCAAGUUCUACCUUGAUAUGAAGUGUUCCA
rnacentral:misc_RNA from 1 species